UAGUCACAACAAGCGGGGUCUAGUUCCCUGACCAGGGAUUGAACCUGGGCCCCCUGCUUUGGGAGUAUGGAGUCUUAGCCACUGGACCCCCAGGGAAGUCCCCUCUUCUCCUUACAAGGAUCCGUUUGAUUAUAAUAGGCCCACUCAGAUAAUGCAAAAUAAUCGCUCCAGCUCAAGACCCUGAACUUAAUCUCACCUGCAAAGUCCCUUGUGCCAUGGAAGGGAGCAUCUGGGCAUUAGGUUCUGGGCAUUAGGAUGUGGACAUUGUGGGGGGCAUUAUUCUGCCAACUACACCUUCCCUUGCCAUUAAAAAUUCUUCUGCAGCAUCCUUUUUGACAGCUGCAUAGUAUUCCAUCUAUUCAUUCAUUCAACAAGUAUUUGCUGACUACUUAUUAUGUGACCAUCUAUCUCAUCCUCCCCCUCAUGGCCCAUGUGGACCAGUGUGGUCACCUGCAUCCUCUCAACCCCCACAGCACGUGGUUUCUUGCAGCAGCCACUGCACCUGUGAGCACCUGACUCAGGCCCCACCCCUCCUCUACCCACAGCCCUCCAGGACUCCCAUUUCCCUUGGGAUAAAAGUCCACAUCCUCCCAUCGCCCAUAAGCUCCUGCACAACCUGCCCCAUCCUCUCCCUGCCCUCCUCUCCUUCUUCUCUCCUUCCCCCUCACUCUGUUCCAGUCACAUGGGCCUGCUCACUGUCCCUCCGCCAUACGAGGAAACGUGUUGAAAUUACAAACAAAUGAAUAGCUGCUCAGAGGAGAGAAAAUACCAAGGGAUGGCGUGAAAAUACCUGGUUAUGGGGAUGGAGUAACACAGGUCCAGUGGUUAAGAUUCCGCCUGCUGGGGCUUCCCUAGUGGCUCAGUAGUGAAGAGUCC